CUUGAAAUGGGCUGAGUCCCUCUUGCUCACCCUUGACUUGGAAAAACCAGUUUCUCUUUUAUUGUCUGUUACUAAUCUCUAUUCUAAAAAUUCAGCUCAAUUCUCAACCAUACUCCAAACUCUCUCUUUUCCAGCUACCUUUACUCCCUCUCCUUCAAUUCCACUUUCCUCUGCUUACUUUUUUUUUUUUUCUGACAGGGUCUCACUUUGUCGCCCGGGCAGGAGUGCAGUGGCUCAAUCUUGGGCUCACUGCAGCCUCAACCUCCCAGAGGCGGGGUUUCACCAUGUUGCCCAGACUGGUCUUGAACUCCUGAGCUUAAGCAAUCCACCUGCCUCGGCCUCCCAAAGUGUUGGGAUCACAGGCGUGAGCCACCGCAUCCGGCCUCAUGUUCUUUUUCAUUAAAGAGAGAAAUCAACUAUUCAGGACCGGCCCCCACCUUUCCUCAGGAGUCAUUUCUGUUCCGCACAGGCCUGCUGAACUGGGUGCUUUAUAUAGGAAAGGACCAACCACACCGAGCUCAGUUAUGGCACACACAGUGGGACCUAGACAAAGGGAGAGGGUGACCGACAUCCCAACUAGAUUUCAGUGGAGUGAAGUUCAGGAGGCAUGGAGCUGACAACCAUGAGGCCUCGGCAGCCACCGCCACCACCGCCGCCGCCACCACCGUAGCAGCAGCAGCAGCAGCAGCAGCAGCAGCAGCAGCAGCAAGAGUAACUCUGACUUAGGAAUAGAGACAGCCAGAGAGAAAUGUGAUCAAUGAAGGAGACAUCUGGAGUGUGCGUGCUUCUUCAGAGGGACGGGUGAUGGGCAGAUUGGAAAAAGCACCGCAGAUGGGAACCUUAAUCUUUCUUUUCUAAAAUUGAUGCUAUGAAAAUUUGCGUUUUCUGUAACUUGUAAAAACUAAAAGUUGCUUGUCUACUGAAAA
rnacentral:lncRNA from 1 species